GCACUGCUGCAGAUUCCCAAACAGGACGAAACAGCUGUCCAGUGC
rnacentral:hammerhead_ribozyme from 1 species